rnacentral:misc_RNA from 1 species
GAUGAAGAACGUAGCGAAAUGCGAUAAGUAAUGCGAAUUGCAGAUUUCAGUGAGUCAUCGAAUCUUUGAACGCACAUUGCGCCCGCCAGUAUUCUGGCGGGCAUGCCUGUUCGAGCGUCAUUACAACCCUCAGGCCCCCGGGCCUGGCGUUGGGGAUCGGCGGAAGCCCCCUGCGGGCACAACGCCGUCCCCCAAAUACAGUGGCGGUCCCGCCGCAGCUUCCAUUGCGUAGUAGCUAACACCUCGCAACUGGAGAGCGGCGCGGCCACGCCGUAAAACACCCAACUUCUGAAUGUUGACCUCGAAUCAGGUAGGAAUACCCGCUGAACUUAAGCAUAUCAAUAAGCGGAGGA